rnacentral:rRNA from 1 species
UACGUAGGGACCGAGCGUUGUCCGGAAUCAUUGGGCGUAAAGAGCGUGUAGGCGGCCUUUUAAGUCCUGCGUGAAAUCCUGCGGCUCAACCGCAGACGGUCGUGGGAAACUGGAAGGCUAGAGUGCGGGAGAGGAGAGUGGAAUUCCCGGUGUAGCGGUGAAAUGCGUAGAUAUCGGAAGGAACAUCAGUGGCGAAAGCGGCAUCCUGGACCGGCAUUGACGCUGAGGCGCGAAGGCCAGGGGAGCAAACGGG